rnacentral:rRNA from 1 species
UACGUAGGUGGCAAGCGUUUGUCCGGAUUUACUGGGCGUAAAGAGCGCGCAGGCGGUCGCUCAAGUCGCGUGUGAAAGCCCCCGGCUCAACUGGGGAGGGUCACGCGAUACUGAUCGACUGGAAGGCAGGAGAGGGUAGUGGAAUUCCCGGUGUAGUGGUGAAAUGCGUAGAUAUCGGGAGGAACACCAGUGGCGAAGGCGACUACCUGGCCUGUUCUUGACGCUGAGGCGCGAAAGCUAGGGGAGCAAACGGGG